AGGGGAAACGCCCGGUCACAUUCCGAACCCGGAAGCUAAGCCCUCCAGCGCCGAUGGUACUGCACUCGUGAGGGUGUGGGAGAGUAGGACACCGCCGGAC
rnacentral:rRNA from 1 species